AUUUCAUGGAUCCUUUGAAGAGGCGGUUACCCACUGGAGAAUGGAGAUCAAUUGUUGAUACUGCCAUUGCUAUGUAUAAUGCACACAGAGGCAAGAAAGGCAGGAGUUCAGUUUUGUGGAAGAAUUUAGCGGGUAUUCCUCCCCAACCUAGCUCUACGGAGUGUGACUACUUCGUGAUGAGAUACAUGCGAGAUAUAAUUGAAGAUAAGGAUCUAUCGUUUG